rnacentral:rRNA from 1 species
CACGCCGUAAACGAUGAAUACUAGGUGUCGGGCGUCAAAACUCGGUGCCGCAGCAAACGCAUUAAGUAUUCCGCCUGGGGAGUACGCACGCAAGUGUGAAACUCAAAGGAAUUGACGGGGACCCGCACAAGCAGCGGAGCAUGUGGUUUAAUUCGAAGCAACGCGAAGAACCUUACCAGGUCUUGACAUCUCUCUGACCGAUCCUUAGCCGGAUCUUUCCUUCGGGACAGAGAUGACAGGUGG